rnacentral:lncRNA from 1 species
GGUACCCCACGUGACCAAAUUACAGCUCAUCAGCAUAAACUAAAUUUGAAAAAUGGAGGAUGAUAUAAAUGAGUGCCAAACCAUGGUGUGGUGCAUUAAAUGUCUUCCAUUUAUUUUCUCUCCACAAGAGAAAUCUAGUCUCAGCUCAACUAUAUAUACAUGUUAUUAGUGCCCAAACUUGUACCCACCACAGUACUCUCUCCUAUACCAAAAUACUGAAAAGAAGAGGGUAGAAAACCUGAAGCCAUGACUAGCAACAAGAACACUGCCGCCACCAGGGCGAAGGUGGCAAUGGUGUUGCUUUUACUAGCGACGACGCUCCUGUUGACAACGGUGGCGGAUGCACGGCCUUAUUUGGAUGUGCUGCCUCCGUCGACAUCACAUAGCGUGGCUGGGAAUUUGCUGCCAUACAAGAUCAUACCGCCCUCUGGGCCUAGCGAUUUCUGGGGCGGCGAGCCACUACCGCCGCAUGUGGAGGUGAAAACCAACCAUGGUAAUUGAGUGCAAGGAGUGGUGUGAAUGAGAAUAGUUGGUGAUGUAGGGAUGAAUGCAUCACAAGGGCCAUAAUGCCAUGUAAUGACUUAUGCAAGAACUUGAAUAACAAGAGCGCAUGGUCUUGAUCAUUUUCCUUGGGUUUUUGCAUAUGCAUGUGUAUCCGCUUUAUUUGUCAAAACACAAGGUCAUACACCUUUAAUCUUAUUUGGAUCUUAAUGUCAUCCUUCGUUUGUUUGAAAUAUAUCGAGGUGGCUUAUGGUGUUUGUUAGAAAGAUGUUGAGGUAAAACUAGAGCACCCCAUCCCCACCACCCCAAUGACGGCAUGGGUGGAAAUGUCGCCAUCAUAGAUCUUGCUCCUCUCUCUACCUUGAUGAGUGCAUCCCUAGAAGAUUUUACAAGCACAAGGACGGCGACAGGGCUCUCUUCCUAAGCCCAAGUACUCCUUCUCAUCCCCUUCCCUCUCAUGCCUACUCCUAGAGGUGACCUUGGUGAGGCUAGCUGGCUCAAGGAUCGGUUGUUUGCCGUCCCUUUGGGUGGAUCUAGUCUCCCUAUGACUAGAUCUAGCCAGGAGUAGUCUAUGGUGGUAGUGUGAAGGUCAGACUUUGGUACGUCUUGGUCAAGCGUUGGUCAUGCGCUGGAUCAGCAUGGAUGGCAUCUUGCCUUUGGCAGCAAGCGGCGGCCACACCAUGGCCUUAGCUGUGCCUUUUUGGUAAUAUUAGAAACGACAACUUAGCAAGGCCCACGGUUUUGGCGCUGGCAUCACAUUGUUGGUG